rnacentral:rRNA from 1 species
AACAGGGAUUGCCCUAGUAACGGCGAGUGAAGCGGCAACAGCUCAAAUUUGAAAUCUUGGCCUCACGGUCCGAGUUGUAAUUUGUAGAGGAUGCUUCUGGCGACGUGCCUUCCGAGUUCCCUGGAACGGGACGCCAUAGAGGGUGAGAGCCCCGUCCGGUCGUGCACCUAGCCUCUGUGAAGCUCCUUCGACGAGUCGAGUAGUUUGGGAAUGCUGCUCUAAAUGGGAGGUAUACGUCUUCUAAAGCUAAAUACCGGCCAGAGACCGAUAGCGCACAAGUAGAGUGAUCGAAAGAUGAAAAGCACUUUGAAAAGAGGGUUAAAUAGUACGUGAAAUUGCUGAAAGGGAAGCGCUUAUGACCAGACUUGGGCUCGGUGAAUCAUCCGGCGUUCUCGCCGGUGCACUUUGCCGUCCCAGGCCAGCAUCAGUUCGCGCCGGGGGAUAAAGGCUUCGGGAAUGUAGCUCCUUCGGGAGUGUUAUAGCCCGUUGUGUAAUACCUGACGUGGACUGAGGUCCGCGCUCUGCAAGGAUGCUGGCGUAAUGGUCAUCAGUGACCCGUCUUGAAACACGGACUGAGGAGUCGUCUUCGUAUGCGAGUGUUCGGGUGUCAAACCCCUACGCGUAAUGAAAGUGAACGUAGGAGAGAGCUUCGGCGCAUCUCCGACCGAUCCUGAUGUUCUCGGAUGGAUUUGAGUAAGAGCAUACGGGGCCGGACCCGAAAGAAGGUGAACUAUGCCUGUAUAGGGUGAAGCCAGAGGAAACUCUGGUGGAGGCUCGCAGCGGUUCUGACGUGCAAAUCGAUCGU